rnacentral:rRNA from 1 species
GACGAACGCUGGCGGCGUGCUUAACACAUGCAAGUCGAACGGAAAGGCCCUGCUCUUGUGGGGUGCUCGAGUGGCGAACGGGUGAGUAACACGUGAGUAACCUGCCCUUGACUUUGGGAUAACUUCAGGAAACUGGGGCUAAUACCGGAUAGGAGCUCCUGCUGCAUGGUGGGGGUUGGAAAGUUUCGGCGGUUGGGGAUGGACUCGCGGCUUAUCCGCUUGUUUGUGGGGUAGUGGCUUACCAAGGCUUUGACGGGUAGCCGGCCUGAGAGGGUGACCGGCCACAAUGGGACUGAGAGACGGCCCAGACUCCUACGGGAGGCAGCAGUGGGGAAUAUUGCACAAUAGGCGGAAGCCUGAUGCAGCAACGCCGCGUGCGGGAUGACGGCCUUCGGGUUGUAAACCGCUUUCGCCGGUGACGAAGCGUGAGUGACGGUAAUGGGUAAAGAAGCACCGGCUAACUACGUG